CCACCGUAGCACCCCCCACCUCCCCAACUGCCACAGAGCGGCGAGCUAGAGCGUCUCCCAUCUCUAUGGUCGGUGGUGCGAUGCGGUCGGUUAGUUAUGUACAGCGGGUGGCGCUCGAGUUCAGCGGGAGCCUGUUCCCGCACGCCAUCCGCCUGGGGGACGCCGACAACGACACGCGGAACGAGCUGGUGGUGGGGGACACCAGUGGGAAGCUCUACGUGUACAAGAAUGAUGAUACCAAACCCUGGACUGUGCGUUCAUGCCAAGGAAUGCUCACCUGUGUUGGUGUCGGGGAUGUGUGCAACAAAGGCAAGAACCUGGUUGUGGCAGUGAGUGCUGAGGGUUGGUUCCAUCUCUUUGACCUCACUCCACCACCCUCAAAGCACUCAGAGGCCUCCAGCCACCAUGAGCCUCCGCCAUCGGAUGAGCAAAGGCCAGUGUUCAAGCAGCAUAUUCCUGCCAACACCAAGGUCAUGCUGAUCAACGACAUCGACGGCGACGGGAAGUGUGAGCUGGUGGUGGGUUACACCGACCGUGUGGUGCGAGCUUUCCGCUGGGAGGAUUUGUCCGAAGGCUCUGACCACCUCUUGGGGCAGCUGGUCCUCUUGAAGAAGUGGCUACUAGAAGGGCAGGUAGACAGCCUCUCCGUGAACCCUGGCCCCGAUGGCGCCCCAGAGAUGAUGGUGUCUCAGCCAGGCUGCGGCUACGCUGUCCUUCUCUGCACCUGGAAGUUGGAGCAGCAGCAGCAGCCUGCAGCAGAGGAGGGAGACAACUCUGCAGCCAACAGGGAAGCUCCAGUGCGUGACGUUAUUCUUCACCAGACAUCUGGUCGCAUCCAUAACGAGAACGUUUCUACCCACCUCAUUGGCAGCAUCAGCCGAGGCUGCCCCACAGCAAGUGGUGGCUCGGGCCUUUUCGCCCUGUGCACUCUAGACGGGACAUUGAAGCUCAUGGAGGGAGCAGAUAAGCUGCUGUGGUCUGUACAAGUUGAUCACCAGCUCUUCGCUCUGGAAAAACUGGAUGUCACAGGCGAUGGGCAUGACGAGGUGGUGGCCUGUGCGUGGGAUGGUCAAACAUACAUCAUCGACCACAAUCGGACUGUGGCCAGGUUCCAGGUGGAUGAGAAUGUCAGCGCGUUCUGUGCAGGCCUCUAUGCCUGCAAAGGCGGCCGCAACAGCCCCUGUCUGGUUUAUGUUAGUUUCAACCAGAAGAUCUAUAUCUACUGGGACGUGCAGCUGGAGAGAAUGGAGUCCACGAACUUACUGAAGAUACUGAAGGCCAACCCAGAGUUUGAGGACCUCCUCCAGCAGCUGGGUGUUGAAAGCGAUGAUGUUUCUGCUGUCAAAGACCUGAUUCACAAAACCCUGUACUUCCCUGAGAAGCACCUGCAGAACAGCCCCUCCCAGCACCGGAGUCCUGCUGGAGCUGACUCGUCCAGCAAUCACACUGUUGCCCAGGACUCCAUAUAAACCAAGCUGGGUGUGGACAAGUACCUAUAACAGCAGUGACUCUUCUCUAGUUGAUGGUUGGAGUUAGGCAUGUGCCUGUGACUCAAGCUGAGUCUAGCAGCCAGGAUCAAAGAGCAUCUUCCUUUUCCAUCAGCCUCAGCUUCCAGCAGGCUAACAGCAGUUGGACAAGAGACUUGGUUAGAACUGAGCCAUUGCAGUAGGGCUGGGGCGAGAUGUGGAAACCAAGGGAAAAGCUGUGGCCCCAGCCCACAGCAGUGAGCCAGCCACAGACCUGGAGACCAUGGAGUUUUCCUGAUUCCAAGUCCUUUGCUGCCUCUGAGACAAAGCUGCCUCAUUGCUGCACAGCUACAGAGAGAGUGUUUUCAUCCACCCUGUAGAGUGCUGCUGUUAUUGAUAUCACUUUCUAAAGUGGCUGAAGUGAAUGAAGAGCUUGUCUUACCAAUUUCUGCCUCCCUCCCCAGCCCCCGUGGGACAGGCUUCUUGAAUCGUUUAAGUGCUUUGGAACUGUUUUUCUCUGAGAGUAGGGAGGGUUUGUGGUUUAGAUAUGUUUUGCUCAAACUAAAAUGUGGCCUGUGGUGGUUUUACAGAAGAAUGAGCUGGGCUGUAGGAAUUAUCCAGCAAGUGGAUGGAGCAUUGAGGGUUGCCAGCCAAGGGCUGGUCUCCCCUGGCACAUGACCUUGAGGAGUUAUGUAUGUACCCAUGGCUGAACACAACUGCAUGUAGGGACCCACUCUAUUUGACACUUGGCUGGUGCUGGCUUAGCUCAUGUGCCUCCUGGGACUGUGCUUUAGCACAGCAUUUCUCAACCUGUGGGUCACGACCCAAAAGUGGGUCACAAGACUAUAUGAAAGGAUCAUGAACAAGCUUCAUAAAAUGGAUCAACCAACUUUAAAAAUGGAUUCUCCUUUGAAGGAGAAAAAUGUGGGAAACAGUCAGUUUCCCCUUUCAGACUAGCAGAGUUCCAACCUGGUUGGGGGGAGCAGGAGGAAGGUGAUCAGGCAGGGGAUGCCAAGUUCAUGUGCAUGUGCACACUUGCACAUGGCAGCCAGGCAGCGUGGAGAGCAGCUCCUGCAGCUCCCUGCAGGUAAGUCUAUGGGGAGGGGGGCAUAAAUGACGUGUCAGGGGAAUGGGGAGGCACAAGUGACACCGCCUGCCACCCCAUCUCCUCUCUGGGUUAGAGCUAUGACCUGAGGGGAGCAGUGACAGUGGCUGGGCCAUGGCAGUGAGGUAGAGCUAUGGCCUGGUGCAUGAGCAGCUGGCAGUGGAAGAAGGUGAGGGCAGCACAGCUCCCCAAUGCCCCCCGUCCCCCAUCAGUUACUCCUUGCGCUGCUGGCAGCAUGACUGGCAUGGGAGUUCCAGCAGCAGUGGCAGCAAUGAAUCUUGCUGCCCCACUCUGCCCUCCUGUGCUGAGUCAUGCCCACUGGGCCGCAGAGACAGCUCCUGCCUAUGCCGGUCCAGUCAGGCUGCAGUCCCAUGCCCACUGUGGCUGCACAAAUCUGGGGGGCACGUCCUGUCCCCCCCACACCCACCCCCUGC